GACGAACGCUGGCGGCGUGCUUAACACAUGCAAGUCGAACGGUGAAGCCCUUCGGGGUGGAUCAGUGGCGAACGGGUGAGUAACACGUGAGCAACCUGCCCCUGGCUCUGGGACAACCACUGGAAACGGUAGCUAAUACCGGAUACGACCCGCCUCGGCAUCGAGUGUGGGUGGAAAGUUUUUCGGCUGGGGAUGGGCUCGCGGCCUAUCAGCUUGUUGGUGAGGUGAAGGCUCACCAAGGCGACGACGGGUAGCCGGCCUGAGAGGGCGACCGGCCACACUGGGACUGAGACACGGCCCAGACUCCUACGGGAGGCAGCAGUGGGGAAUAUUGCACAAUGGGCGAAAGCCUGAUGCAGCGACGCCGCGUGAGGGAUGACGGCCUUCGGGUUGUAAACCUCUUUCAGCUCCGAAGAAGCGAAAGUGACGGUAGGAGCAGAAGAAGCACCGGCUAACUACGUG
rnacentral:rRNA from 1 species